rnacentral:rRNA from 1 species
UACGGAGGGGGCUAGCGUUGUUCGGAAUUACUGGGCGUAAAGCGCACGUAGGCGGACUGUUAAGUCGGGGGUGAAAUCCUGGGGCUCAACCUCAGAAUUGCCUCCGAUACUGGCAGUCUCGAGUGCGGGAGAGGUGAGUGGAAUUCCCAGUGUAGAGGUGAAAAUUCGUAGAUAUUGGGAAGAACACCGGUGGCGAAGGCGGCGACCUGUCCUUGACUGACGCGAGCGCGAAGC